rnacentral:rRNA from 1 species
UACGUAGGGGGCGAGCGUUGUCCGGAUUUAUUGGGCGUAAAGAGCUCGUAGGCGGUUGGGUAAGUCGGGUGUGAAAACUCAGGGCUCAACUCUGAGACGCCACUCGAUACUGCUCUGACUCGAGUCCGGUAGGGGAGCGUGGAAUUCCCGGUGUAGCGGUGAAGUGCGCAGAUAUCGGGAGGAACACCAGUGGCGAAGGCGGCGCUCUGGGCCGGAACUGACGCUGAGGAGCGAAAGCGUGGGUAGCAAACAGG